GAUGAAGAACGUAGCGAAAUGCGAUAAGUAAUGUGAAUUGCAGAAUUCAGUGAAUCAUCGAAUCUUUGAACGCAUCUUGCGCUCCUUGGUAUUCUGAGGAGCAUGCCUGUUUGAGUGUCAUUAAAUUCUCAACUACACUGACUUUGAAUUGGUGUGGCUUGGAUUUGGGGGGAAAAUUGUUGUGGGCUUUUUGUAUAGUCUGCUCCCCUGAAAUUGAUUAGCGGUACCUUUGUGGAACUGUCUACAGGUGUGAUAAUUAUCUACAUCUUAGACAUCUGCUGGAAUGCUGCUUUCUAAACCUUACUUGUAUUGACAAUCUUGACCUCAAAUCAGGUAGCACUACCCGCUGAACUUAAGCAUAUCAAUAAGCGGAGGA
rnacentral:misc_RNA from 1 species